rnacentral:rRNA from 1 species
GAUCGAACGCUGGCGGCGUGCUUAACACAUGCAAGUCGAGCGAUGAAGUUUCCUUCGGGAAACGGAUUAGCGGCGGACGGGUGAGUAACACGUGGGUAACCUGCCUCAUAGAGUGGAAUAGCCUUCCGAAAGGAAGAUUAAUACCGCAUAACGUUGAAAGAUGGCAUCAUCAUUCAACCAAAGGAGCAAUCCGCUAUGAGAUGGACCCGCGGCGCAUUAGCUAGUUGGUGGGGUAACGGCCUACCAAGGCGACGAUGCGUAGCCGACCUGAGAGGGUGAUCGGCCACAUUGGGACUGAGACACGGCCCAG